UACGAAGGGGGCUAGCGUUGCUCGGAAUUACUGGGCGUAAAGCGCACGUAGGCGGAUUGUUAAGUCAGGGGUGAAAUCCUGGAGCUCAACUCCAGAACUGCCUUUGAUACUGGCGAUCUUGAGUUCGGGAGAGGUGAGUGGAACUGCGAGUGUAGAGGUGAAAUUCGUAGAUAUUCGCAAGAACACCAGUGGCGAAGGCGGCUCACUGGCCCGAUACUGACGCUGAGGUGCGAAAGCGUGGGGAGCAAACAGG
rnacentral:rRNA from 1 species